rfam:Musa acuminata subsp. malaccensis Doubled-haploid Pahang (DH-Pahang) genomic chromosome, chr4
AUACUUACCUGGACGGGGUCUACGGGCGAUCAAAAAGGCUCGUGGCUUAGGGUAGCGGUCUCCAUUGCACAUGGGAGGCGCGCUGCCCUACCAUCUCCCCAAAGUGGGAGAGUGGACGUCAUAAUUUGUGGUAGCGGGGGUACGCGUUCGCGCGGCCCCUCC